UACGUAGGUGGCAAGCGUUGUCCGGAAUUAUUGGGCGUAAAGCGCGCGCAGGCGGUCCUUUAAGUCUGAUGUGAAAGCCCACGGCUCAACCGUGGAAGGUCAUUGGAAACUGGGGGACUUGAGUGCAGAAGAGGAAAGUGGAAUUCCAAGUGUAGCGGUGAAAUGCGUAGAGAUUUGGAGGAACACCAGUGGCGAAGGCGGCGCCCUGGCUCGCAACUGACGCUCAGACACGACAGCAUGGGGAGCGAACGGG
rnacentral:rRNA from 1 species